rnacentral:rRNA from 1 species
UACUGGGCGUAAAGAGNUCGUAGGUGGUUUGUUGCGUCGUCUGUGAAAUUCCGGGGCUUAACUUCGGGGUGGCAGGCGAUACGGGCAUAACUAGAGUGCUGUAGGGGAGACUGGAAUUCCUGGUGUAGCGGUGGAAUGCGCAGAUAUCAGGAGGAACACCGAUGGCGAAGGCAGGUCUCUGGGCAGUAACUGACGCUGAGGAGCGAAAGCAUGGGGAGCGAACAGGAUUAGAUACCCUGGUAGUCCAUGCUGUAAACGGUGGGCGUUAGGUGUGGGGACCGGUUUGGUUUCUGUGCCGUAGCUAACGCAUUAAGCGCCCCGCCUGGGGAGUACGGCCGCAAGGCUAAAACUCAAAGGAAUUGACGGGGGCCCGCACAAGCGGCGGAGCAUGUGGAUUAAUUCGAUGCAACGCGAAGAACCUUACCUGGGUUUGACAUGCACCAGACGGUUGUAGAGAUACGUACCUCCCUUUGUGGUUGGUGUGCAGGUGGUGCAUGGUUGUCGUCAGCUCGUGUCGUGAGAUGUUGGGUUAAGUCCCGCAACGAGCGCAACCCUUGUCUUAUGUUGCCAGCACUUUGGGUGGGGACUCAUGAGAGACUGCCGGGGUUAACUCGGAGGAAGGUGGGGAUGACGUCAAAUCAUCAUGCCCUUAUGCCCAGGGCUUCACACAUGCUACAAUGGUUAGUACAACGCGCAGCAAACCUGUGAGGGUGAGCGAAUCGCUGAAAGCUAAUCUCAGUUCGGAUUGGGGUCUGCAACUCGACCCCAUGAAGUCGGAGUCGCUAGUAAUCGCAGAUCAGCAAUGCUGCGGUGAAUACGUUCCCGGGCCUUGUACACACCGCCCGNCACGUCAUGAAAGUUGGUAACACCCGAAGCCCA